UACGAAGGGUGCAAGCGUUACUCGGAAUUACUGGGCGUAAAGGGUGCGUAGGUGGUUUGUUAAGUCUGCUGUGAAAUCCCCGGGCUCAACCUGGGAAUGGCAGUGGAUACUGGCAAGCUAGAGUGCGGUAGAGGGUAGUGGAAUUCCCGGUGUAGCAGUGAAAUGCGCAGAUAUCAGGAGGAACACCGAUGGCGAAGGCAGUGGGCUGGGCCGGCACUGACGCUGAGGAGCGAAAGCGUGGGGAGCGAACAGG
rnacentral:rRNA from 1 species